ensembl:snoRNA
AGUGUUCUGUCGUUCCUAAGUAUGAUGAGUGAGUUUCCAGCCAUCGUGUGGGAUGUGCCUCUCUGAGACCUUGUUAGGGCAAAAGCACAUUGCAGAUCUGGAG